UACGGGGGGAGCAAGCGUUGUUCGGAUUUACUGGGCGUAAAGGGCGCGUAGGCGGCCACUGCAAGUCAGUUGUGAAAUCUCCGGGCUUAACCCGGAAAGGUCAACUGAUACUGCAGGGCUAGAGUGCAGAAGGGGCAACUGGAAUUCUCGGUGUAGCGGUGAAAUGCGUAGAUAUCGAGAGGAACACCUGCGGCGAAGGCGGGUUGCUGGGCAGUAACUGACGCUGAGGAGCGAAAGCGUGGGGAGCGAACAGG
rnacentral:rRNA from 1 species